AGCAAGGCAAGACAAAAGAGAAGUAUGUAAGUGCGGUUUUUCAGAGAGCUGGUGGCGGUGAGAAUCAGUAAAUUAAUCUUUCAGAAAUGGACUUUUGUGUCGAAUGAUUGAAUGCAGUAGGUUAUUCCGGGUACUCCCGUUACAGGGUGAAAUCGUUGUUUGACGAUGAAGAGAUGAAAUUUGAGGUGGCACCGUGAGCGAUUCGCCCUCAUG
rnacentral:ncRNA from 1 species